CUUGGCGCUUUCCGGCGACUUCGUGCACGCUGCUGCACGCCGUUUGAGUGAGAGCUUCCUGGGUUUUCGGCGUUCUUUGUCUGCUUCGCUGUGACAUCUUUGGAAUAUUCCUGCGUGUUGCUCACUUUUUAUGGGCUUAUUGCCUCGAAGAUCGACAUCAUCGCCUCCGACUCAGUGACAUCAAGGAUUCAAAAUGACCUGGGAGAGGCCCCAGCUGGAACCCUAAAGAUGAAUUCUUUGGCCAUCCUUUCUGUAGCGUCACCAUGAUGCAAUACAGUGAUGCUGUGAAAAUGUACUGCCGGAAGCAGAAAAAAGCAACAUUGCUGAUGCAACUGCAAGGGAUUUCGUCCAGUGAUCAAUUGGUGCAGAGUGCCUCCAUUAGGAGACAUGGUGCCUUUAAGCACUCAGCUGAAAGACUUUGCAACUGCACCGGGACUGGGAGUGAAUUUCAAUGUCACUUGUGAACAUAUUAAACGCAGAAUGUGCA